rnacentral:rRNA from 1 species
CUUCGGAUCUAGUGGCGGACGGGUUAGUAACGCGUGGGAACGUACCCUUCACUACGGAAUAGUCCCGGGAAACUGGGUUUAAUACCGUAUACGCCCUUCGGGGGAAAGAAUUUCGGUGAGGGAUCGGCCCGCGUUAGAUUAGUUAGUUGGUGGGGUAAUGGCCUACCAAGACUACGAUCUAUAGCUGGUUUGAGAGGAUGAUCAGCAACACUGGGACUGAGACACGGCCCAGACUCCUACGGGAGGCAGCAGUGGGGAAUCUUAGACAAUGGGGGCAACCCUGAUCUAGCGAUGCCGCGUGAGUGAUGAAGGCCUUAGGGUCGUAAAGCUCUUUCGCCUGUGAUGAUAAUGACAGUAGCAGGUAAAGAAACCCCGGCUAACUCCGUGCCAGCAGCCGCGGUAAUACGGAGGGGGUUAGCGUUGUUCGGAAUUACUGGGCGUAAAGCGCACGUAGGCGGAUUAGUCAGUCAGAGGUGAAAUCCCAGGGCUCAACCCUGGAACUGCCUUUGAUACUGCUAGUCUUGAGUUCGAGAGAGGUAAGUGGAAUUCCGAGUGUAGAGGUGAAAUUCGUAGAUAUUCGGAGGAACACCAGUGGCGAAGGCGGCUUACUGGCUCGAUACUGACGCUGAGGUGCGAAAGUGUGGGGAGCAAACAGGAUUAGAUACCCUGGUAGUCCACACCGUAAACGAUGAAUGCCAGUCGUCGGGUAGCAUGCUAUUCGGUGACACACCUAACGGAUUAAGCAUUCCGCCUGGGGGAGUACGGUCGCAAGAUUAAAACUCAAAGGAAUUGA